UACGUAGGGUGCGAGCGUUGUCCGGAAUUAUUGGGCGUAAAGGGCUCGUAGGCGGUUUGUCGCGUCGGGAGUGAAAUCCACUGGCUUAACUGGUGGCUUGCUUUCGAUACGGGCAGACUGGAGGUAUGCAGGGGGAGAACGGAAUUCCUGGUGUAGCGGUGAAAUGCGCAGAUAUCAGGAGGAACACCGGUGGCGAAGGCGGAUCUCUGGGCC
rnacentral:rRNA from 1 species